GCGAGUAGCGCAGCUUGGUAGCGCAACUGGUUUGGGACCAGUGGGUCGGAGGUUCGAAUCCUCCCGGAUGCA
rnacentral:tRNA from 1 species